rnacentral:tRNA from 1 species
AACUAAUGAGCUUGAAUAAGCAUAUAUUUUGAAAAUAUAUGAUAGAGUAAUUACUCUAUUAGUUU